UUUCUUUUUCUUUUACAAUUUAAAUUAUUGUGGUGGUAAAUUUUUGAUAAUCUUGUUGAUUGUUCUUGAUUCUUUGUUAAAUGAUUGUUUGUAUUUCGCUGUAAAUUGGAUUGAUUUUGUUUUCUUUUCAUCUUCUCAUUUGUGUCUCUCCCUCUCUCUCUCUCUUUCUCUCUCUUAGGCCUAAGGUUUUACUCCGGAAAAAAAGUUACUUUGGUUAUCUCAUCUCAUCGACAAUUGUUGAUUGUGAAAACAAAAGGCAACACAAAACCUUUAGGGUUUAAAGUCAUCAAAGUAAAGGAAACUCAUUUAAUCCAAUUGAUUUAUUGUGAUACUAAAAUGGUUUGUGAUUAAAGUCAAUCAAAUACAUACAUUCAAUUAACUAAGUAAAUAACACAUUGGGGAAUAACAAUUAAUUUGGUUUGGAGUUUAUUCAUCUUACCUUAGUGACAAAAUCGCCAAAUCGGACUCUCAUACUUUCGGGAAUCGGGAAACCAUCAAGAGUCCAUGUUAUCUGAGGUAACGGAUUACCGGCAGCGACACAUUUCAAUGACAAUGAAGGACCAGGAUCAAGAGUUGAUGAUUUAAAGGUUUCCUUAAAUUCAGGCGGAUCAUCUGUUGUUGAUAUAAAUCAUAAUCAUCAUCAUGAGCCAUCAUUAACAGGGGAAGAAAAAAAAAUGAUGAUCAUCAUCAAUUUGUGAACAAAUGAUCAACAUUCAGAAGAAAGAUGAGGAUGAUGAUGACGAAGACAGAAGCCAUGUUGUGACAAGUUGGAAUUUAAAUAAAGAUGAAGCCAUAGGACAAGGAGAAGAAGACAAAACAUGAGAGAGAAAAUUAUUAUUGGUUUUUCAUCACCUUCUCUCUCUCUCUCUCUCUCCUCUCUGGUCAGAGAUCCAAGUCAAUUCAAUUUUCGGAACAAUCAGAUGAUUGGAUUAAAAGGAUUUGAAACGUUUGAUUGUUGACAAUUUACCUCUGAUUUUCAAUAGCGAUGAUGCUUGGACAGAUUCAUAUUCAUUGGAAGCGAAACACUGAUAAGUGCCACCAUGUUUACUUUUAACUGAUUCAAUGUGAAUUAAAUCUUUUGCCACCAAACGAAUUCCUGAUUCAGAUGAAUCUCCUUUAAUUGGUUUAUGAUCUUUCUCCCAAACAAUUGAAUCUAUUGGAUGACCAGUAACGGAACAAUUAAGGAACAGUGAAGCACCAACAUCAGUUGAUUCACUUGAAGGCACCAAUUUGGCAGAUAAAGGAGCUAUUAUUUAGCGUAAUUUACGAUCAUCAUAGUUAAUUGUUGACGAGAAAAAGCAGAAGAGAAGAGAGAGAAAAAUAAAGAUAUUCAAUGAAGAAAUAUGAUUAUUAAAUAACUUGUCAUGAUUCUAAUGGAUAAUCUAAGUGUAUAUGAAAAGAGUAAUUGGGAUCAACAUCAACUAUCAAAAACCAUCAUUAGUUUUACCAUGAUGAUGAUGAUUAUCAUCAGAUUUAUGGAUCUCCAGAGGAAUUAGGAAGACAACUGAUUUCCUGGAAAAAUAUAAUUGACAAAGAAACAACAAUCAACCAAAGGAGAGCGAAGAUCCCAAAGCUAAUAUCUAUUUGAAUGGAAUUACAUAAAAUGCAAAUCAUUUCAUCAACACGAACUUUUUGUUUUAACUAAAUCACACUGACAACAGCUAUUAUAUCAUCAUCAUCAAUUUAUCAUCUUUACUCCUCUCAAUCUCUCCCUAUCUCUCUCUCUCUCUCGCUCACUCUCUGUGUAAUAUAAUCUAUUAUUUAAUGUACGUUAGGUUUAACAAAGUGAUUAAUUUAACCUU